ACGUCGCANNCUCCCGGCCGCCAUGGCGGCCGCGGGAAUUCNNNNGCCUACGGGAGGCAGCAGUGGGGAAUUUUCCGCAAUGGGCGAAAGCCUGACGGAGCAACGCCGCGUGAGGGAUGAAGGCCUCUGGGCUGUAAANNNUCUUUUAUCAAGGAAGAAGAUCUGACGGUACUUGAUGAAUAAGCCACGGCUAAUUCCGUGCCAGCAGCCGCGGUAAUACGGGAGUGGCAAGCGUUAUCCGGAAUUAUUGGGCGUAAAGCGUCCGCAGGCGGCCCUUCAAGUCUGCUGUUAAAAAGUGGAGCUUAACUCCAUCAUGGCAGUGGAAACUGUUGGGCUUGAGUGUGGUAGGGGCAGAGGGAAUUCCCGGUGUAACGGUGAAAUGCGUAGAUAUCGGGAAGAACACCAGUGGCGAAGGCGCUCUGCUGGGCCAUCACUAACGCUUAUGGACGAAAGCCAGGGGAGCGAAAGGGAUUAGAUACCCCUGUAGUCCUGGCCGUAAACGAUGAACACUAGGUGUCGGGGGAAUCGACCCCCUCGGUGUCGUAGCCAACGCGUUAAGUGUUCCGCCUGGGGAGUACGCACGCAAGUGUGAAACUCAAAUGAAUUGACGGAAUCACUAGUGAAUUCGCGGCCGCCUGCAGGUCGACCAUAUGGGAGAGCUCCCAACGCGUUGGAUGCAUAGCUUGAGUAUUCUAUAGUGUCACCUAAAUAGCUUGGCGUAAUCAUGGUCAUAGCUGUUUCCUGUGUGAAAUUGUUAUCCGCUCACAAUUCCACACAACAUACGAGCCGGAAGCAUAAAGUGUAAAGCCUNNNGUGCCUAAUGAGUGAGCUAACUCACAUUAAUUGCGUUGCGCUCACUGCCCGCUUUNCAG
rnacentral:rRNA from 1 species